rnacentral:rRNA from 15 species
CAUCUAGCAUGUGCGCAAGUCAUUGGGUAUUUAUAAUAAACCUAAAGGCGUAAUGAAAGUAAAUAUAUAUAUAAUUUUUAUAAUUAUAUUUUAUAAAGGGAAGAUGGGUAACGUUAUUUAUGUUACCUCGCAUUCCCGGGGCGUCGCAUACUUAUUGCAAGUUGCGGCGCACCAAGAGCGUACACGCUGGGACCCGAAAGAUGGUGAACUAUGCCUGGUCAGGAUGAAGUCAGGGGAAACCCUGAUGGAGGUCCGUAGCGAUUCUGACGUGCAAAUCGAUCGUAUGAACUGGGUAUAGGGGCGAAAGACUAAUCGAACCAUC